CAAGGUUGAAACUCAAAGGAAUUGACGGGGACCCGCACAACCGGUGGAGCGUCUGGUUUAAUUCGAUGCUAACCGAAUAACCUCACCAGGGUUUGACAUGCGGUGUGUCGGGUAUGAAAGUACCAUAGGCUAUGAUUAUUCAUAGCCGCGCCGCACAGGUGGUGCAUGGUCGUCGUCAGCUCGUGUCGUGAGAUGUUGGGUUAAGUCCCGCAACGAGCGCAACCCUUGUCCUGUGUUACCAGCGGGUAAUGCCGGGUACUCACAGGAGACUGCCGGCGAUAAGCCGGAGGAAGGAGGGGAUGACGUCAGAUCAGUAUGCCCUUUAUGCCCUGGGCUACACAGGCGCUACAGUGGCAGGGACAAUGGGCUGCAACGCUGCAAGGCAAAGCUAAUCCCUUAAACCCUGUCGUGGUGCAGAUUGAGGGUUGCAACUCACCCUCAUGAAGGCGGAAUCGGUAGUAAUGGCGAAUCAGCAAUGUCGCCGUGAAUACGUUCCCGGGUCUUGUACACACCGCCCGUCACGCCAUGGGAGUCGGGUUCAUCGGAAGUCCCCGGGCUAACCUGCAAAGGAGGCAGGGGCCGAUGAUGGGCCUGAUGACUGGGGCGAAGUCGUAACAAGGUAGC
rnacentral:rRNA from 1 species